AGCGAACGCUGGCGGCAGGCCUAACACAUGCAAGUCGAACGAACUCUUCGGAGUUAGUGGCGGACGGGUGAGUAACACGUGGGAACGUGCCUUUAGGUUCGGAAUAACUCAGGGAAACUUGUGCUAAUACCGAAUGUGCCCUUCGGGGGAAAGAUUUAUCGCCUCUAGAGCGGCCCGCGUCUGAUUAGCUAGUUGGUGAGGUAAAGGCUCACCAAGGCGACGAUCAGUAGCUGGUCUGAGAGGAUGAUCAGCCACAUUGGGACUGAGACACGGCCCAAACUCCUACGGGAGGCAGCAGUGGGGAAUCUUGCGCAAUGGGCGAAAGCCUGACGCAGCCAUGCCGCGUGAAUGAUGAAGGUCUUAGGAUCGUAAAAUUCUUUCACCGGGGACGAUAAUGACGGUACCCGGAGAGGAAGCCCCGGCUAACUUCGUGCCAGCCGCCGCCGUAA
rnacentral:rRNA from 1 species